UACGGGGGGGGCAAGCGUUGUUCGGAAUUACUGGGCGUAAAGGGUGCGUAGGCGGUGCUCUAAGUCGGAUGUGAAAACUCUGGGCUCAACCCAGAGCCUGCAUCCGAAACUGGAGUGCUAGAGUUCUGGAGGGGGUAGCGGAAUUCCUGGUGUAGCGGUGAAAUGCGUAGAUAUCAGGAGGAACACCGGUGGCGAAGGCGGCUACCUGGACAGAAACUGACGCUGAGGCACGAAAGCUAGGGGAGCAAACGGG
rnacentral:rRNA from 1 species